rfam:Eucalyptus grandis cultivar BRASTZ1 unplaced genomic scaffold scaffold_20, whole genome shotgun sequence.
GUCAAGAUGACGAGCUUCUGAAUCUGAAUUUUAUGUGGAAUACACACAUAUGGUCUUCAGAGUUCUCUGUGUGCU